rfam:Actinomyces sp. oral taxon 448 str. F0400 genomic scaffold SCAFFOLD1, whole genome shotgun sequence.
GGGGCUAUGGCGCAGUUGGUAGCGCGCCCCCACGUUGUGGGGGAGACGGGGGUUCGAUUCCUUCUAGCUCCA